GCGGAGGUUGCCGAGCUUGGCCAAAGGCGACAGACUCAAGAUCUGUUCCUAUAGGGGUUCGCCGGUUCAAAUCCGGCCCUCCGCA
rfam:Thermoplasmatales archaeon I-plasma AMDT3_IPLC00001, whole genome shotgun sequence.